rnacentral:rRNA from 1 species
UGCAGUCGGACGGGAUUGAGGAGCUUGCUUCUCAUGAGAGUGGCGCACGGGUGCGUAACACGUAUGUAACCUACCUUGUUCAGGGGGAUAGCCUCUCGAAAGAGAGAUUAACACCGCAUAAAAUCAAUUUAUGGCAUCAUAGAAUGAUCAAAUAUUUAUAGGAACAAGAUGGGCAUGCGGAACAUUAGCUAGUUGGUAAGGUAACGGCUUACCAAGGCUACGAUGUUUAGGGGAUCUGAGAGGAUGACCCCCCACACUGGUACUGAGACACGGACCAGACUCCUACGGGAGGCAGCAGUAAGGAAUAUUGGUCAAUGGACGCAAGUCUGAACCAGCCAUGCCGCGUGCAGGAAGACGGCCCUACGGGUUGUAAACUGCUUUUGUACCGGAAUAAACCUUUUCACGUGUGAGAAGCUGAAUGUACGGUAAGAAUAAGGAUCGGCUAACUCCGUGCCAGCAGCCGCGGUAAUACGGAGGAUCCAAGCGUUAUCCGGAUUUAUUGGGUUUAAAGGGUGCGUAGGUGGCCUAUUAAGUCAGGGGUGAAAGACGGUAGCUUAACUAUCGCAGUGCCUUUGAUACUGAUGGGCUUGAAUACACUUGAGGUAGGCGGAAUGUGACAAGUAGCGGUGAAAUGCAUAGAUAUGUCACAGAACACCAAUUGCGAAGGCAGCUUACUAAAGUGUUAUUGACACUGAGGCACGAAAGCGUGGGGAUCAAACAGGAUUAGAUACCCUGGUAGUCCACGCCCUAAACGAUGAAUACUCGAUGUUGGCGAUAUACGGUCAGCGUCUAAGCGAAAGCGUUAAGUAUUCCACCCGGGGAGUACGCCCGCAAGGGUGAAACUCAAAGG